rnacentral:rRNA from 1 species
GACGAACGCUGGCGGCGUGCUUAACACAUGCAAGUCGAACGAUGAAACCUAGCUUGCUAGGUCGAUUAGUGGCGAACGGGUGAGUAACACGUGACUAACCUGCCCCCUUCUCUGGGAUAACGCUCGGAAAGGAGUGCUAAUACCGGAUACUCACAUCGAGGCACAUGCCUUGGUGUGGAAAGUCUUUCGGAAAGGGAUGGAGUCGCGGCCUAUCAGCUUGUUGGUGAGGUAACGGCUCACCAAGGCGACGACGGGUAGCCGGCCUGAGAGGGCGACCGGCCACACUGGGACUGAGACACGGCCCAGACUCCUACGGGAGGCAGCAGUGGGGAAUAUUGCACAAUGGGCGCAAGCCUGAUGCAGCGACGCCGCGUGAGGGAUGAAGGUCUUCGGAUUGUAAACCUCUUUCAGUAGGGACGAAGCGAAAGUGACGGUACCUAAAGAAUAAGCACCGGCUAACUCUGUGCCAGCCGCCGCAGUAAUAC